UACAGAGGGUGCGAGCGUUAAUCGGAAUUACUGGGCGUAAAGCGUGCGCAGACGGUCAUGUAAGUCGGGUGUGAAAACCCCAGGCUCAACCUGGGGACGCCACCCGAUACUGCCAUGGCUUGAGUCUGGUAGGGGAGUGCGGAACUCCUGGUGUAGCGGUGAAAUGCAUAGAUAUCAGGAAGAACACCGGUGGCGAAGGCGGCACUCUGGGCCAGUACUGACGCUGAUGGGCGAAAGCGUGGGGAGCAAACAGG
rnacentral:rRNA from 1 species